rnacentral:rRNA from 1 species
CGGCAGGCCUAACACAUGCAAGUCGAGCGGUAGCACAGAGAGCUUGCUCUCGGGUGACGAGCGGCGGACGGGUGAGUAAUGUCUGGGAAACUGCCUGAUGGAGGGGGAUAACUACUGGAAACGGUAGCUAAUACCGCAUAACGUCGCAAGACCAAAGUGGGGGACCUUCGGGCCUCAUGCCAUCAGAUGUGCCCAGAUGGGAUUAGCUAGUAGGUGGGGUAACGGCUCACCUAGGCGACGAUCCCUAGCUGGUCUGAGAGGAUGACCAGCCACACUGGAACUGAGACACGGUCCAGACUCCUACGGGAGGCAGCAGUGGGGAAUAUUGCACAAUGGGCGCAAGCCUGAUGCAGCCAUGCCGCGUGUGUGAAGAAGGCCUUCGGGUUGUAAAGCACUUUCAGCGGGGAGGAAGGCGUUAAGGUUAAUAACCUUGGCGAUUGACGUUACCCGCAGAAGAAGCACCGGCUAACUCCGUGCCAACAGCCGCGGUAAUACGGAGGGUGCAAGCGUUAAUCGGAAUUACUGGGCGUAAAGCGCACGCAGGCGGUCUGUCAAGUCGGAUGUGAAAUCCCCGGGCUCAACCUGGGAACUGCAUUCGAAACUGGCAGGCUAGAGUCUUGUAGAGGGGGGUAGAAUUCCAGGUGUAGCGGUGAAAUGCGUAGAGAUCUGGAGGAAUACCGGUGGCGAAGGCGGCCCCCCUGGACAAAGACUGACGCUCAGGUGCGAAAGCGUGGGGAGCAAACAGGAUUAGAUACCCUGGUAGUCCACGCCGCAAACGAUGUCGAUUUGGAGGUUGUGCCCUUGAGGCGUGGCUUCCGGAGCUAACGCGUUAAAUCGACCGCCUGGGGAGUACGGCCGCAAGGUUAAAACUCAAAUGAAUUGACGGGGGCCCGCACAAGCGGUGGAGCAUGUGGUUUAAUUCGAUGCAACGCGAAGAACCUUACCUGGUCUUGACAUCCACAGAACUUUCCAGAGAUGGAUUGGUGCCUUCGGGAACUGUGAGACAGGUGCUGCAUGGCUGUCGUCAGCUCGUGUUGUGAAAUGUUGGGUUAAGUCCCGCAACGAGCGCAACCCUUAUCCUUUGUUGCCAGCGGUUCGGCCGGGAACUCAAAGGAGACUGCCAGUGAUAAACUGGAGGAAGGUGGGGAUGACGUCAAGUCAUCAUGGCCCUUACGACCAGGGCUACACACGUGCUACAAUGGCAUAUACAAAGAGAAGCGACCUCGCGAGAGCAAGCGGACCUCAUAAAGUAUGUCGUAGUCCGGAUUGGAGUCUGCAACUCGACUCCAUGAAGUCGGAAUCGCUAGUAAUCGUAGAUCAGAAUGCUACGGUGAAUACGUUCCCGGGCCUUGUACACACCGCCCGUCACACCAUGGGAGUGGGUUGCAAAAGAAGUAGGUAGCUUAACCUUCGGGAGGGCGCUUACCACUUUGUGAUUCAUGACUGGGGUGAAG